GGGGUAUUAGCUCAGUUGGUAGAGCUCCAGGUUCGCAAUCUGGAGGUCAGGGGUUCGACCCCCCUAUGCUCCA
rnacentral:tRNA from 1 species